rfam:Glomerella graminicola M1.001 genomic scaffold supercont1.26, whole genome shotgun sequence.
GUCUCUAUGGCUCAGUCGGUAGAGCGUUGGUCUCAUAUUCAUCAAUAUGACCCUGCCUUUAGGCCGGGAUAUCCAAAGGUCGCAAGUUCGAGCCUUGCUAGGGACA